UUGGUGUGGCGUUCACCUAUCCAUCUAUCCAUACUUCACCUUAACAAUAUAGGAACCGGGGUGACACUUCUUAGUGUUGAAUCAUUCCUGACGUUGAGUUCGUUUUCCAUUCCCAUCCUACGAAUUAUUUUCUUGUUAUACCAAACUGACCCAUUUAUCCAUCACCCAUCUUUGCUACACAUAACCGAACCUAUUACUAAACUUACCCUUCUU
rnacentral:lncRNA from 1 species